rnacentral:lncRNA from 1 species
GCACAUUGACCAGACCAAGUCACCAAUGACUGCCUAACUGCAAGGGGACUAUAAAUACCAGGAUACAAGGGGAAACACUUCUUAACUUACAAAUGCUUGACUGGAAUGACAUAUUUUAAAAUAUGACCAGACAACUUUGAGAAACUAAGGUAAACUUCAGAAAGGCAAGAAAGCGCACCUUGGAGAAACUGGUCUCAUACCUUGAGCACAUGGUUCACGUGACUGCUUUACAGGACAAACCGUGCAGAAAUACAAGGCAUGACAAUCAUAAGUCUUUCUUCAAGAAAUCCAAAGUAAUGACUUUACUGCUCCAUCCUGCAAUCAACAGAUACUCAGAAACAGCCCAAAGAUGAAUUACUUAGCUAAUUCUUUGGUAUUUUCUCGCAAUCCUCUUUUUCAUUGUACAUUUCAUUUUUUAACAGCCAUUGGUACUGAAACUUAUGUUUGCAAAAGCAAGAGAGUUGAUUAAUAGGUAUUUUAUACAUCUGGUAUUUUCUCAUAAAAGACUAGAAAACUUAUUUCAAUUAUCAUACCACCAACAAGGAUGCAAUCUGUUCACAAGGCCUGUUUACGAGUGGCUGCUUUGGGUAAUGGCUGUUUUCUUAGCAUGGGAAAUGAAAUAUAAUAUUAUUAAGCAGAGAUAUGCAAAAUGAAGUGUCAACUUAUCCAUCUUCCUGAUGUUUAUAGGCUUCAUUUUUUAGAAUGUUUAUUUUAUUUUAUGGGACCACACGUUAAAAUACCUCCUAUUUCAAAGGAUCUAAUUUCUUUUAUUCCGAUUUUAAUGUCCUUGAAUAUUAACAUUCUCAAACUUGUAAGCAAUCAGCUAAGGAAAUCUGUGGUAGGUACUUUAUUAAUUCCAUUUAGAUAAAUGUAUCAUAAUGGGAGAGACAAUAAAAAUGAACACUUUAUCUUUGCCUGAGAAAAAGAACUGGUCUUUGCCAGAAGGAUGGCAUAAAUGAUUUUCACUUUUAGAGGCCACCUGUGAUAAAAUGGGGGAAGGGGUGGCGGUUGGUAGAAAGCAAACCUCUAAUAAUAAUGAGUGUGUGCGUGUGUGCAUGUGCAUGCACGUGUGUGUGUGUGUGUGUGUGUGUGUGUUCAGGAGGGAGAGGGGUUGUGAAUCAAGGCACUGUAAUGGAAAUAAUAAAUCAAUUUUGAAGAGCUUGAGUAAGAUCAUUGGAAAAGUCUAGCUAUAUCUGUUUUUGGCUAAGUGUGGCUCCUUCGUUAUUUCACUAAAUUUCAUUAUCUCUGCAAGGAGUGGAAGUGAGAAAGAAUAAACUUUGUAAAAAGGUAAAUAUCACCACUUAUUUAAUUAUCAUUUCUAUUAUUUUCCCAGGAAGGCAUCCUACUAAUAAAUGGACCUACCUGCAGAUAAAGGAAAGGAAAUCAUAUACUAAAGGAGGAGGAUAACUUUAAACAGUAUAGAUUAUAGAACUCUACAAAGCCCUCUUGCAAAAUAUAUUAAAUUCCUUUAUAUGAGGAAAAGGAAUAUUAACACUGGCAAGAUAUAUACUGGGGUGUCC